GGGUAACGUGGUGCGAGCGGCGGGGGUAAUACGGAGGGGGAAAUCGGUGAUCGGAAGUACUGGGGGUGAAGCGGGCGUAGGUGGUUCAGUAAGAGGGGUGUGAAAUCCCCGGGCUUAACCUGGGAACUGCUUUCAUAACUGCUGAGCUAGAGUACGGUAGAGGGUAGUGGAAUUUCCUGUGUAGCGGUGAAAUGCGUAGAUAUAGGAAGGAACACCAGUGGCGAAGGCGACUACCUGGACUGAUACUGACACUGAGGUGCGAAAGCGUGGGGAGCAAACAGGAUUAGAUACCCGGUAGUC
rnacentral:rRNA from 1 species